GAUGAAGAACGUAGCGAAAUGCGAUAAGUAAUGUGAAUUGCAGAAUUCAGUGAAUCAUCGAAUCUUUGAACGCACCUUGCACCCUUUGGCAUUCCGAAGGGUAUGCUCGUUUGAGUGUCAUUGUACUCUCACACUUCCAAUCUUUGGAUUGGGAGCAGUGGACUUGGGUGUUGCUGCUUACUGUGGCUCACCUCAAAUCGAUUCGUGCACCUCUUGGUUGGACAUAGUACGGCGUGAUAAGUGUCUUCGCCGGCACCUCAGUAGAGGGUGGCUGAUCAGGAGCUCUGUGCUUCAAACCGUCCUCGGACAAAAACUGACGACUUGACCUCAAAUCGAGUAGGACUACCCGCUGAACUUAAGCAUAUCAAUAAGCGGAGGA
rnacentral:misc_RNA from 1 species